rnacentral:rRNA from 1 species
GACGAACGCUGGCGGCGUGCUUAACACAUGCAAGUCGAACGGAAAGGCCCUGCUUUUGUGGGGUGCUCGAGUGGCGAACGGGUGAGUAACACGUGAGUAACCUGCCCUUGACUUUGGGAUAACUUCAGGAAACUGGGGCUAAUACCGGAUAGGAGCUCCUGCUGCAUGGUGGGGGUUGGAAAGUUUCGGCGGUUGGGGAUGGACUCGCGGCUUAUCAGCUUGUUGGUGGGGUAGUGGCUUACCAAGGCUUUGCCGGGUAGCCGGCCUGAGAGGGUGACCGGCCACAUUGGGACUGAGAUACGGCCCAGACUCCUACGGGAGGCAGCAGUGGGGAAUAGUGCACAAUGGGCGGAAGCCUGAUGCAGCAACGCCGCGUGCGGGAUGACGGCCUUCGGGUUGUAAACCGCUUUCGCCUGUGACGAAGCGUGAGUGACGGUAAUGGGUAAAGAAGCACCGGCUAACUACGUG